rnacentral:tRNA from 1 species
GGGGAGAUACCAAAGCGGCCAACUCGGGACGGACUGUAACUCCGUUGUCUUACGACUUCGCAGGUUCGAAUCCUGCUCUCCCCA